rnacentral:rRNA from 2 species
UAGGUGAACCUGCGGAAGGAUCAUUGUUG